UUUACGCUGGGCGCUGGGCACCAUCUUAAAUUAUUUGAUUUCAAACUAUUUCCGUUGAGCGGUGUUGUAGUUUGGUAUUUGAUCUGAUGGUAUGAAAUGUUUUUUAGAAAUAAAAAAUACAAAAGCAGGCGAUUUGGUUUUGUAAACGUGAAACUGUCUCGAUCUAUUCGCGCUGCUAAAUAUGAAAGUCGGCGUAAAACUGGAAAAACCAAAACUUACAAUGAAAACAGAAAUAUAUCAAACUGUUAAAUUAAUGCAACACUGGAAGAAACAACACCUCCAGCAAUUGAAAAUCGUUUGCAAGACUAACAAAAUGGAAAGUAGAACGUGAUAGAAAGAAAAAAUUGGAAAAUGUUAAAAAGAAAUGUCCUUUCGUAGUUAGGAUGGUAUUUCAUAAAAUAUAUUCUUCAAUUACAACGGAUGAACGUCUUGUUUCAACCACUAUCAGCAAAAAAGUAUGUAAAUCAAAUAUACCAAUGAUACCUUUGGUUCAAAAGAAGAAAAUUACAAGAGCCACAGAAAAGAGAUUAAUGUAUAAAGCACAGUCAAACAAAAUGAUCAAAGAUUCAAUAAAAAUUGAUCAGUCUAUGAAAAAUAAGCAUCCUAAGAUUCCAAAGGAACAGGGAGCAAUUCUUUGCUUCUGUAAAUUAUAAAUAUAAGCCACCAGAAGGGCCAUGUAAAAUGUCUUUGUUUGGUUGGGUUACAAAUAGUACAAAUGGCGUAUUGAAUGAAUCUUUAUUGUUCUUUUCAAAAGAGAUUCUAAGACCAGUAAAAAAAAUGGCAAUACAAACUUUUCUGUAGAACCAAUAAGUAUCACAACAUUAAAUAUAUCUUAUAUUAUUGAGGAAAAGCAAGAAGAUACCAUAGAUGAAGUUUCUAGUGAAUCAUUUAUAUUAAAAUUAUCUUCUGAUAAUGACGAAGUGUUUAAUUUAGUUAAUAGACACAAUACUAGAAGUAAAAAGAAUAGUGAUAAUAGCAACAAUGUUACCAAGAAAGUUAAAGAAACUAAUAAAAAAUUGAUUGAUUUUAAGAAAAAUUGGAACAACUGAACAUUUUGAUAAUAUAAGAGUGUUAAGAAAUAGAAGUAUUAUUUCAGAAAAUACAUCAACACAGAAAAAAAGGUACUCUAGAAAACUAUCUGUAAAUAUGCACGAAUCAGAAAACAAAGAAAAUAAAACUUCUAAGUAGUGGAGAUAAUACGCUUAUUAAUUCAGAAAUAGAUUUAUAUGAUGCUAUUCGUGGUAUGAGCUUAGAUGAAAAAAGUGGAAGAUGAAAAUCUAACUGAAGAAGCAUUAAAUUAAAACAACACGCUUUUGGUAAGUUCGAAUUAUUUAAACAAGUGGAUUUUAUUACAGUAAAAGACUACUCUGGUUGUGUAGAGAGACCAACACUUCCUAUGUCCCUUCAUGUGAGAUGGAGUAGAAUGCGAUCUACUGGGAAGAAGAAAAAAGUUCCUGAACAGAUACAUCGAUUAAAGAGCAAAAAAGCAUAAUUACUGAUCAAACUGUGAGUUCUAAUCUCCUUAUAUCAUAGAAGCAAUGUUAUGCACAGAUAUUGAAAGUUGUAAUGAGCGAUAUGUAUUAAGAGUAUGAAAAGAUGAGAAUAAAGUAUAGAACAGUAUGAUAAAUAAAGGAGAAAUACAGAAAAA